AAUAUUUUUAACACUUUAGGGUCAGUCAAAUGUUCUAUGAUUUGUUGUUAAUAAUCAGUUCUAUGAUUGGUUAAAGCCUAGGCGACUGCCGCUCACGAAAAGAUAAAGGGCGUAUUCCAAUAGCAUAUUAUUAUCCCUAUGCCCUAUUCCCUUCGAAGAUCAGAACACUUGAUGUAUAAACUCUAGAGAAAGUUGCACAAUUGUCUCAUGGUGUGGUCAAUUCAAAUAGACUUGGCAAAUAGAGCAAUAAAAUACGCACAUCAGUUUCUCUUUAUUUGGAUAGACUGUGUGACGUCCCCUUCCUGAAGUGCCCUUCAAGGGCGCUAAAACGCCAUUUGGAAUUCACCCCGCUUUCAGCAUGAACUUGACUGUCGCGUCCCAUCUCAAAGGCCGAUAAAACAGCUGGCGUACUAAUAAAAACAUAAGUAAAUUAAUAGGUUUCAGCAAUUCUUCUGAAGAAAUGUUACCAUAUCUUUCUCUGGAAAAAUAAGCUGCAUGCCUUCAAAGCAAGUGUAAUUGCAGAUUCAUGCGCUUCUAAUCUCAUUUUCCAAAUUGUUCUUUUAAAGAGCAACUUGAAAGUUAAACCACCCAUUCACUCAAAGUACAGAAAAAUACUGUAGGAAAUAGAUUCAAAAAUAUAUAUUUUUCUAAAUGCACUAAUUAGGCUUCUGGGGUCAUUUUUGUAAGAAAAUUUUAGACCCGCCUCUAAAAACCGCCAAACCGGAAGUGACAUCACGAGAGGCGCACGCUGGAUCGCAAUGACAGUUCUUCGGACGCUGAGGAACGAGCAAAUGUUUAUUCAUACUCGUAUGGCGAACUACAGCCAUACAAUUAUGAGUUUGCUAUGCAGCCAAGAGUGCAGGGACUGGUCAGGAUUAAACAGAACGGUCAGAGGAGACAAAUUGAAGUGUUAUGUGAGGAGAAAAGGACAGAUGUGUGGGUGAGAUCAGUCAUCUGGCAAGAUGUAAUACUGUGCUCAGAUCACAAGAUUGUACAGAUUAUUAUCAUAUAUCAUGCAAUAGCAAAGAUAGUAUUGAUACUUUAUGUCUUUUUAAUGCUUAUAAGUUAUGUUAAUAUCCAUCCACACUUACGUUAGGUGAUACAGAUGUUGCUCAUCACCGCAGGAGAGGUGAGCUGUCUGAACCCAUAUGUGCUACAGGCCAGGCCAGUAGAAAUGAUUUUCCCAUCUCCAGACAAUACCACUAAAUACAGCAUAGGCAAGUUAUCCGCUGGGCGUCUAAGGAACUCUGUGCAGGCGCCCUUACCUACAUGUGUCAGCCAUUCAAGAACAGGUUCCAGAGGAAGGAGGACUUUAUAAAUGAUCCCAACAGCUUCAGCCUUGUUGAUCCUCUGGAUGGAUCUGGAGAGGGGAGCAGGUGUAGUGGAAGACAGGACAGUGCUGCAUUCUCGUAGAGCCUGUGGUGACCUGGAGUAUUCCAGAACAGAAUAUUUAAAUAGAUUACAUUUAUUUGUCCCUGUUAACAGUGUACACCAAAGUAAUACAGUUCUGAUAAAAAAUGUAUAGUCAAAGUGGUUUUGAUGGUUUUGGUGAUGAGUCAGCUUUAUAUUAUUUUUUGAAAGCGAUAUACAAUGCUAUUGUUCAAACAUUUACAAUCUUUUAACAAAAAACAACCGCUUACUGCAA